GAAAACAAAAUUACGAUUUUUUGCGUGCAUAUAAAUAUGCAACAAACUGGUCUUGCAGUGAGGAGAAAAUUAACCUCUUGUGAGCUCAAAGACUGCGAUGCAUAAGUAUUAUAUAUCGGCAAUACUAACAAGCAGUUGUAAGACGUCCAAGAAUCAACCUAGUUUCCUCAGUCUUUUCAUAUUUAGGAGCAGUCCUUGGCUUUGGUGCAUUACGAAGACGGAAUAAUUUCGCCAGCAGCCCUUGAUUAUUGGAUGUCAAGAUGAAAGCAGCAAAGAAGAUGUAGCAGAGCAGACAGAAAUUAUAUCAAGAAGCAUCACAGGUAUCAGCCGACUGUGAAAAAAAUGCAGUUCCAUUCUCAUCAAUCGUUUGGUCUCUGGUUAGGAG
rnacentral:lncRNA from 1 species